ACGAUAGACGAUGGGCAUCCAACAUUUGGUCACUGCUAUAUUUCUGAUGUCUGUAGCAUCUCUGACAAACUCACUAGUCGCUGAACACUAGUCCGUAUCAGCAGAACGACUACUUCUACUGGAACGCCUACAGUCCUCAAGGAUGGUAUACGCAUGACCAUGGCAGCUAUCACUGGCCGUUUUCCUUUAACCAUCCCAAAAUUGGAGGCAAUUGGGUCAUUCGUAUCAAUCCAAGACCAAGCACUGACCGGAGCUGUUGCGCAGCGGUGUUCUGUGCAAUAGGAAGAUACUGCGUCUGCAGGACGAUUUACUGCUUCCGUGCUCCGUGCCCGUCUCAAGCUAUGUGUGUGCCUUUGAGGAAAUCUUACCAGCGUAAGGCCAACCAGUGGUGACCGUAAGCGGUAUGACUGAAAUGUUGCAGUCAUGGAAGAACUGACACUAAAGAUUAGCAAAUAAAAGACUCUUCUGUUCCAUUUCUCUA